rnacentral:rRNA from 1 species
GAGAGUGGAAUUCCACGUGUAGCGGUGAAAUGCGUAGAGAUGUGGAGGAACACCAGUGGCGAAGGCGACUCUCUGGUCUGUAACUGACGCUGAGGAGCGAAAGCGUGGGGAGCGAACAGGAUUAGAUACCCUGGUAGUCCACGCCGUAAACGAUGAGUGCUAAGUGUUAGGGGGUUUCCGCCCCUUAGUGCUGCAGCUAACGCAUUAAGCACUCCGCCUGGGGAGUACGGUCGCAAGACUGAAACUCAAAGGAAUUGACGGGGGCCCGCACAAGCGGUGGAGCAUGUGGUUUAAUUCGAAGCAACGCGAAGAACCUUACCAGGUCUUGACAUCCUCUGACAACCCUAGAGAUAGGGCUUUCCCUUCGGGGACAGAGUGACAGGUGGUGCAUGGUUGUCGUCAGCUCGUGUCGUGAGAUGUUGGGUUAAGUCCCGCAACGAGCGCAACCCUUGAUCUUAGUUGCCAGCAUUCAGUUGGGCACUCUAAGGUGACUGCCGGUGACAAACCGGAGGAAGGUGGGGAUGACGUCAAAUCAUCAUGCCCCUUAUGACCUGGGCUACACACGUGCUACAAUGGACAGAACAAAGGGCUGCGAGACCGCAAGGUUUAGCCAAUCCCACAAAUCUGUUCUCAGUUCGGAUCGCAGUCUGCAACUCGACUGCGUGAAGC